rnacentral:rRNA from 1 species
GACGAACGCUGGCGGCGUGCCUAAUACAUGCAAGUAGAACGCUGAAGGAAGGAGCUUGCUCUUUCUGGAUGAGUUGCGAACGGGUGAGUAACGCGUAGGUAACCUGCCUGGUAGCGGGGGAUAACUAUUGGAAACGAUAGCUAAUACCGCAUAAAAUUGAUUAUUGCAUGAUAGUCAAUUAAAAGGUGCAACUGCACCACUACCAGAUGGACUUGCGUUGUAUUAGCUAGUUGGUGGGGUAACGGCCCACCAAGGCGACGAUACAUAGCCGACCUGAGAGGGGUGUCGGCCACACUGGGACUGGGACCCGGCCCAGACUCCUACGGGGGGCAGCAGUAGGGAAUCUUCGGCAAUUGACGGAAGGCUGACCGGGCAACGCCGCGUGAGUGAAGAAGGGUUUCGGAUCGUAAAGCUCUGUUGUAAGGGAAGAACGAGUGUGAGAGUGGAAAGUUCACACUGUGACGGUAUCUUACCAGAAAGGGACGGCUAACUACGUG